GAGGGCACAGCUCAGUGGUGGAGUGCAUGCUUAGCAUGCAUGAGGUCCUGGGUUCAAUCCCCAGUACCCCCA
rnacentral:tRNA from 1 species